UACGGAGGGUGCGAGCGUUGUCCGGAAUCACUGGGCGUAAAGGGCGCGUAGGCGGCGCGGGGAGUCAACGGUGAAAGCUCGGCGCUCAACGCCGAGUCGGCCGUCGAUACUCCCGUGCUUGAGCACUGUAGAGGCAGGUGGAAUCCCGGGUGUAGCGGUGGAAUGCGUAGAGAUCCGGAAGAACACCGGUGGCGAAGGCGGCCUGCUGGGCAGUAGCUGACGCUGAGGCGCGACAGCGUGGGGAGCAAACAGG
rnacentral:rRNA from 1 species